UAAGGCCCAUUUGUUUUAUUUUAAUCAAAACCCAUUCCUUUUUAUUUUUGUCCCACAUUGGAAGUUUGAGCUUCAUACCUCACUUCCCUUCUCCUAUAUAAUAGACUCCUCUUCUUCUCUUUAUUCUCAUCAAGUCAAAGUAUUUCUUUGCGCGUGACAAGUUGUUGUUAAAUUAUUCAACGACCAGUCACUAGUUAAUUUUUCCGGUGAGAUUUCCGGCGAGCUUCCGGCGGGAUUUUUGGACGAGCUUCCGGCAGCAUUUCUGGGCGAGCUUCCGGUGGGUUUUUCUAUUGACCUCAGUUGAUCAUUUCCGUUGUUCGUUCCAGUCAGUUGCUAAGGUGAGGGCUAUUCCGUUAAAUCCUGAGCUAGUUUAGUACUAUUAUUAUUGAAAGUCUAGUUUCGAAACAUGAUCCGUCUUUGUGAAUCGAGUAUGUUUGAAAGUCUUGGUUGCUUAUUAUUAUUUUGAUUGUUAAACUGGAAAUAGGAUAAUAGAGGAUUCAACGAUUGUGUGAAAUGAUUGAUGUUAAAGACUGUUAUAUAUAUGUAUAUAUCUAGUUAUAUAGUAAGGACUAUGUGGUGAGUGCGGGGGCCCAGAGUGAUUUGGGCUAGCGACGCAUAUGAGUACGGGGGCCCAGAGAAAUCUGAGCUAGCGACGUAUAGAGUGCGGGGGCACAGAGACAUCUGAGCUAGCGACGCAUAGUGGAUGAGUACGGGGGCCCAGAGACGUCUGAGCUAGCGACGUAUAUUGUGUGGUGCGGGGUGCAGAGACGUUUGCAUAUCGACGCAUAUUGGUGGAGUGCGGGGGUCCAGAGAUGUCUGGACUAUCGACGCAUAUUAUGAUAUCGUAUAUCCGUAUGAGGAGAACGCAGGGUGUGUGGACUAGCUAUGUACCAUCAGCGUAUUGUUUGUUUUGUGUGAUGUGCUAGGCAUCUUGUCUGUUCAUGCUAGAGCUACUCUUACAUAGUCGUAGUGCUAUGUACUGAGUCUGUGGUUUGCGGGUUAGCAUCCCAUACCUCACUGAGUGACUCCCCUGUUGCUCAUCCCUCUUUCUUUUCUCUUUCAGGUGAGCCUGGCAGACAGGAGUGAUUGCUUUCGGAUUGGUGCUUUUGGGCGUUUUCUUUAUUUCUAUUCCAGAUUUUCGGUUUUGUGCUUUACCGAGAUUUUUAGAUUUAUUAUACUAUUUGAAUUUAAUGCUAUUUAUUGGAUUUAUGGAGAUUUGAGAUUAUUUAUGUGGAGUAAUAAAUGGAGAUUUCAGGAUUAUU